rnacentral:rRNA from 1 species
AUUGCCUCAGUAACGGCGAGUGAAGCGGCAAAAGCUCAAAUUUGAAACCCUCGGGAUUGUAAUUUGAAGAUUUGGCAUUGGAGAAAGCUAACCCAAGUUACUUGGAAUAGUACGUCAUAGAGGGUGACAACCCCGUCUGGCUAACCGUUCUCCAUGUAUUGCCUUAUCAAAGAGUCGAGUUGUUUGGGAAUGCAGCUCAAAGUGGGUGGUAAACUCCAUCUAAAGCUAAAUACUGGUGAGAGACCGAUAGCGAACAAGUACUGUGAAGGAAAGGUGAAAAGAACUUUGAAAAGAGAGUGAAAUAGUAUGUGAAAUUGUUGAUAGGGAAGGAAAUGAGUGGAGAGUGGUUUAGGUUUCAGCCUUCUUUCGAGGGGGUGCACUACCAACGCCGAGUCAUUGAUAGCGAGACAGGGGUUAUAAACGGACGGCACUUGUGCUAUUCUCCUAACCCCUCUACUGCCACCAACGACAUAAUCCACCCAUUUCACCCGUCUUGAAACACGGACCAAGACAAUCUCA